CGGGGUAUGUACUUAAAUCGUACGGUAUUGUAAUUGUAAUAGCGGUAUCGAUUUUGAAGGAUUAACAGAUUUUUCUUUCAAAUUUUUACAUAUUUCACGUUAAAACAGGAUAGAAAAUAAGAAUGGAUAUAAAAAGACAGUAAAUAUGAUUACAACUAGAGACCUAGAUAACUACAUCUCUGUUACAGCCUAGUGAACUCCGAUAACCGGCUCUCUGCGUAGACACACCCAUACAGUGUAACAUCGGCCACAUGAUCAUUUGAUCUCAUUCAACCAUUGAAUCUCAGGAAGCCACAACAAGAAAGAUGGGAAUUGCAAAAUCUUUCAGUCGUCUUCGAUCUUUUCUCAUUUACUGGUACUUCCAGUACGAACUAAAUACCGCAUUGUACAUGCUCGAACCUGCAGAGAAGACUAUAGUCAAUACGAUAGCUGUUGCCAUUGUUGGGCUAAUUUUGUUUGCUGCUUUGACCUAUUUACCAGGUCACCUGAUCAUGAUGAUCCAUUUUCUACAGGGUACACAUGAAAGCACGAGUUCCUGAUAUUAUACAUGUAGGGGGAUAUUGCAGUGUAUUCAAUAUAGAAGUCAUGUACGUGAAAUUUUGUAAAAACGUGAACCAUAAAUGCGAACAUUGGUUUAAAAAUGUGAACAUGAUGGCUGGUGAAAAAAUGAACAAAAUUCAUGUUAUUUACAUGUGACAAAUGUUUGUAAUCAAUUCAUAUUUUUGCUGUGACUUUCUGUGUCAUUCAACCAUAUAUGUGAUGAUCCAUCCAAAAAAAGUUAAUUCAACAAAAGUUCGUAACAAAAAUCGGCAAUAUAAAUUUUCACCAUGUAUUGAACCGAGCAGACCCACCUCUUUCCGAUUAGAUACGGAAAGUAACGAAUAUUGCCGAUUUUUUACGAGCUUUUGUCGGAUAACAUUAUUUACCAGCAAGUUAUGUUGCCAUUCAUGUGAUAAAUAUAUUUGUAUAUCUAAGUCUUUGAAUUGUGCUGAGCUUAAUAAAUUGAGAACAUUUGUUUAAUUUUCGUUAAAGCAUUUGUAAUUUAAGAGAGCUCGCAUCUUUUCACAAACAGUUCUCAUUUUCAAGUUUCCAUGUUAUUAAGGAUGUACAUGUACUUUUUUUUGUUUUUCAUGAUAACUGACAUAAUUUAUUUCCUUAUGCACGUACAUGUACUUUCAUCUGGCUAUUGUUUAAUUUAUUAUUAUCAUAUUAAUAUUAUUUAUUUUCUAUGUACAUAUACAUUUUUUUAUUUAACACAUUAAAUUACCGUCUCACACAGUCAGCAAAUAUAAUUAAUAUGUAAUUCAUUUUUCAUUGAAAAUUUGGUCAUUAAAAUGACAUUAUAUA